rnacentral:rRNA from 1 species
GGUCAAGUUAUUAAGGGUGCAGGGCGGAUGCCUUGGCACUAGGAGCCGAUGAAGGACGUGAUAAGCUGCGAUAAGCUUCGGGGAGUUGCACGUAAACUUUGAUCCGAAGAUUUCCGAAUGAGGAAACUCACUUAGAGUAAUGUCUAAGUAUCAUUAAGUGAAUACAUAGCUUAAUGAGGGGAACUCAGGGAACUGAAACAUCUAAGUACCUGAAGGAAGAGAAAGAAAUUCGAUUCCGUAAGUAGCGGCGAGCGAACGCGGAUUAGCCCAAACCAAUAAAGUUUUCUUUAUUGGGGUUGCGGACAUAUCAUAACGAAGAGGUAUCGUAAUUGAAGAGGUUUGGAAAGACCCACCACAGAAGGUAAUAGUCCUGUAUGUUAAACGAGAAGACUUCAGAUAUGAUCCAGAGUACCACGGGACACGUGAAACCCUGUGGGAAGCAGGAGGGACCACCCUCCAAGGCUAAAUACUACCUAGUGACCGAUAGCGUAUAGUACCGUGAGGGAAAGGUGAAAAGAACCCCGGGAGGGGAGUGAAAUAGAACCUGAAACCCUGCACUUACAAGCUGUGGAAGCACAUUUCUUGUGUGACCGCGUACUUUUUGUAGAACGGGCCAACGAGUUACGUUAAGUAGCAAGGUUAAGCACUUAAGGUGCGGAGCCGUAGCGAAAGCGAGUUUUAACUGAGCGUUCAGUUACUUGACGUAGACCCGAAACCGGGCGACCUACCCAUGAGCAGGAUGAAGCGAAAGUAAAAUUUCGUGGAGGUCCGAACCCACGAGCGUUGAAAAGCUCGGGGAUGACUUGUGGGUAGCGGUGAAAUUCCAAUCGAGCCCGGAGAUAGCUGGUUCUCCCCGAAAUAGCUUUAGGGCUAGCCUCAAGGUGAGAGAUACGGAGGUAGAGCACUGAAUGUCCUAGGGGGUAUUGCACCUACCGAAGACUAUCAAACUCCGAAUGCCGUCAUCUUAUACUUGGGAGUCAGACUGUGGGUGAUAAGAUUCAUAGUCGAAAGGGCAACAGCCCAGAUCGUCAGCUAAGGUCCCUAAAUGUAAGUUAAGUGGUAAAGGAUGUGGGAUUGCACAGACAACCAGGAUGUUGGCUUAGAAGCAGCCACUCAUUCAAAGAGUGCGUAAUAGCUCACUGGUCGAGUGAUCCUGCGCCGAAGAUUUCCGGGGCUAAAACUUACUACCGAAGCUACGGCAUCAGUAAUGAUGGGUAGGGGAGCUUCCCAUACGGGUUGAAGCAUGACCGUAAGGACAUGUGGACAGUAUGGGAGUGAGAAUGUUGGCAUGAGUAGCGAGAUGUGGGUGAGAAUCCCACAGGCCGUAAACCCAAGGUUUCCAGGGGAAGGUUCGUCCGCCCUGGGUUAGUCGGGACCUAAGCUGAGGCCGAAAGGCGUAGGUGAUGGACAACAGGUUGAUAUUCCUGUACUACCGAUAACC